ACUUUCCUCAGCUGGGCAGGGGAGAGAAAAUGCAAUGGAAGGCUCACAGGCUGAGGCAAAACCAGGAAGACAUCACCCACCAAUUACCAUCAUGAGUAAAGUGAACUGAGUUGGGGAAAAAGAAGUUUAAUUUAUUACUUGUACUGCUCCAGCCUGGGUCCCCCAUUGGGUCACAAGUCCUCCCAGCAAACCUGCUCCAGCGUGGGCUCCUCUCUGCACAGCACCACAGUUCCUGCCAGGAGCCUGGUACAGUGGGGGCUUUCUGCAGGAUCACAGCUUCCUUUGGGAAUCCAGCUGCUCCACUUUGAGCUCCUSCUCCAGACAAGUUUGAUUAAAAGAUCAGUCUCAGCUCUGGAGAUGAAUGUUUUCAAAGAUGAAGCCACAUCAAAUAUGUCAGCUUAUUUCAAAACCAGCAUGAAAAAAUUGAAGGAUAGGAAGAAAUGGAUAGCUGAGCCAGAGGUUGAGGCCGAUCCCUACCAAACAUCUACUGUGGUCAUCCUCAGACAAUGCCAGCAGAUGUGCCAGUAGAAAAAGCACCUGCUUUGACUGGACAAGAGGAUGGCACCUUUGAACAAUUUUAUUCUUAAGAAAAUCAGAGAUACUUAAAGGGUAAGAUAUAGUGGUAUGGUGAKUUGUGACUAAGG